AUUGAACGCUGGCGGAAUGCUUUACACAUGCAAGUCGAACGGCAGCACGGACUUCGGUCUGGUGGCGAGUGGCGAACGGUUGAGUAAUGUAUCGGAACGUGCCAAGUCGUGGGGGAUAACGUAGUGAAAAUUACGCUAAUACCGCAUACGAUCUAUGGAUGAAAGCGGGGGAUCGCAAGACCUCGCGCGAUUGGAGCGGCCGAUAUCAGAUUAGGUAGUUGGUGGGGUAAAGGCCCACCAAGCCAACGAUCUGUAGCUGGUCUGAGAGGACGACCAGCCACACUGGAACUGAGACACGGUCCAGACUCCUACGGGAGGCAGCAGUGGGGAAUUUUGGACAAUGGGCGAAAGCCUGAUCCAGCCAUUCCGCGUGCAGGAUGAAGGCCCUCGGGUUGUAAACUGCUUUUGUACAGAACGAAAAGGUUUCUACUAAUACUAGGAGCUCAUGACGGUACUGUAAGAAUAAGCACCGGCUAACUACGUGCCAGCCGCCGCAGUAA
rnacentral:rRNA from 1 species